UACGUAGGUGGCAAGCGUUGUCCGGAUUUACUGGGCGUAAAGCGUGCGUAGGUGGUGAGUUAAGUCUGUCGUGAAAGCCCCGGGCUCAACCUGGGAAUGGCGAUGGAUACUGGCUCGCUAGAGUGCGGUAGAGGAGAGUGGAAUUCCCGGUGUAGCAGUGAAAUGCGUAGAUAUUGGGAAGAACACCGGUGGCGAAGGCAGGUCUCUGGGCCACUACUGGACGCUGAGAAGCGAAAAGCAUG
rnacentral:rRNA from 1 species